AGUUAAACAGUACGUGAAAUUGUUGAAAGGGAAACGAUUGAAGCCAGUCGUACCUAUGGGUAAUCAGCCUUUUGGGUGUGAUUUUGUGGAGCGUGAGGAGUUAAACGCCUUCAUGCCUGCAUAUUCGUGCACUUUGGGUGUACUUGCCCGUGUGUAAGUUAACAUCAAUUUUGGUGGUCAUAAAAUGGCUGGAGGAAUGUAGCUUCGAUCUUGUAUUGAAGUGUUAUAGCCUUCGGUAGAUGUGACGAUCGGGAUUGAGGAUUGCAACGGAUACCCUUCGGGGCUACCUGUCUGAUCUCUGAUUGUUGCUCUGGUGCCGAAAGCUUGCUUACGGUUAUCAAAGUCGAUGGUCAAUAGGUUAGAAUGGGUUAAAUUCGUUAAGGAUGUUGACGUAAUGGCUUUAAA
rnacentral:misc_RNA from 1 species